GCGGAAGUAGCUCAUCUGGUAGAGCGACAGCUUCCCAAGCUGUAGGCGGCGGGUUCGAGUCCCGUCUUCCGCU
rnacentral:tRNA from 1 species